UACGGAGGAUCCGAGCGUUAUCCGGAUUUAUUGGGUUUAAAGGGUGCGCAGGCGGGAGAUUAAGUCGGCGGUGAAAUUUUGCAGCUCAACUGUAAAAGUGCCUUCGAAACUGGUUUCCUUGAGUGUAGAUGAAGUAGGCGGAAUUUGUGGUGUAGCGGUGAAAUGCAUAGAUAUCACGAGGAACUCCGAUUGCGCAGGCAGCUUACUAAACCAUAACUGACGCUCAGGCACGAAGGCGUGGGGAUCAAACAGGAUUAGAUACCCCGGUAGUCCCU
rnacentral:rRNA from 1 species